rnacentral:rRNA from 1 species
AUGCCCGGCCUUGUCAACUUCUUUCUCUGCCUCAUCCGUGAGGACGGCCGCCGUCGCCGUUUCGCGGCCCGUGGCUGGCACUGCACAGUCUCCGCCGAGUCGGACGACCCUCGACGUGACAGGCUGCUGGCCGCGGCCCUCGACGUGGCCUCCGCGCCCCUGGACACGGCCAUCGCGCCGCUGCACGCUGCGACCACGCCCCAACGGUGGCCGGCUCCGCCCAGGCAGGAGAUGGCAUCCCCGGGCCCGUGCUCACGGCUCCAACACGGAUUCCGCCUCCGCCUCCAGCACCGGUCGACGAGCCCGGCUUCUUCGUCUUCGUGCCGUUCCCAAACGGCGCCGGAGGGACGACCCAAGCCGCUGGCCCGACGCCGGUCGCGCAGCCUGGAGACGCGGACGCCGGCCCGUGUCGCAGCGCCGCCGGGUCUCCGCGUGUCUCCGCCUCCGUGCCGGACGAGGCACCACCGUCCCCGCGCACGGUCGCCCGACCGCACCGCCAGGACUCCGCGAGCAUGGAGGGACGCCGCCGCCUCUUCGGUCGCGCCAUCGCCGCCAUCGACCGCCGCCCUAGUCGUCGCUCCGGUCUCGCCCCCGAUCUACCCAACGGCGCCGCUGCAGGCGCCAUCGACGUCUCCUCAUCCGAGGAAGAUGGAGGCGCGCCAGCGAGCCGCCCGUGAGCAGCGGCGUAUGCGGCGGCGGCACCCAGGCGUGGAUUUGGUCAGAAGGAUUGGGGGAUCGCUCCCCUAA